rnacentral:rRNA from 1 species
AAAAGGUGGCUAUGCUACCGCUUUUGGAUGGGCCCGCGGCGCAUUAGCUAGUUGGUGGGGUAAAGGCUUACCAAGGCAAUGAUGCGUAGCCGAACUGAGAGGUUGAUCGGCCACAUUGGGACUGAGACACGGCCCAAACUCCUACGGGAGGCAGCAGUAGGGAAUCUUCCACAAUGGGCGAAAGCCUGAUGGAGCAACGCCGCGUGGGUGAAGAAGGUCUUCGGAUCGUAAAACCCUGUUGUUAGAGAAGAAAGUGCGUGAGAGUAACUGUUCACGUUUCGACGGUAUCUAACCAGAAAGCCACGGCUAACUACGUGCCAGCAGCCGCGGUAAUACGUAGGUGGCAAGCGUUAUCCGGAUUUAUUGGGCGUAAAGGGAACGCAGGCGGUCUUUUAAGUCUGAUGUGAAAGCCUUCGGCUUAACCGGAGUAGUGCAUUGGAAACUGGGAGACUUGAGUGCAGAAGAGGAGAGUGGAACUCUAUGUGUAGCGGUGAAAUGCGUAGAUAUAUGGAAGAACACCAGUGGCGAAAGCGGCUCUCUGGUCUGUAACUGACGCUGAGGUUCGAAAGCGUGGGUAGCAAACAGGAUUAGAUACCCUGGUAGUCCACGCCG